UGGUGAACAUGCAUGAGCUAUAUAAAGCACUUAGCAAGGUGCCUGACACAAGGUGACCUUAGCUGUUACUAAUUUUAAUGGCUGUAUAUUAUGAUUAUCACCAAGUGACAGACGAGUGGGAAGGAAGAGGAAAACAUUCUAGAAGACAGCACAGCCUGUGCAAAGGCAUGGGGGCACCUCUUUCCUUAGACAUGCAGAGCUACAAUCUACAAGAUCUGACCCUGGCCUGGAGGAGGUGGAGGCAAUAUCCGGAGAGAGAGCGAGAGAUUCCUAUAGAAUACAAGACAAGACUAUCACAAUGACUUCAACAUGACUUGCUCUAGGAUGACCAAAGGAAGGGGAUCUGAAUGAGCCAUCUUAGAGGCUCCAAGGUGCCUGCUUCAGAACACUG
rnacentral:lncRNA from 10 species